CAGUCGCCACGGUAAAACGAAGGGGGCUAGCGUUGUUCGGAAUUACUGGGCGUAAAGCGCACGUAGGCGGAUAUUUAAGUCAGGGGUGAAAUCCCGCAGCUCAACUGCGGAACUGCCUUUGAUACUGGGUAUCUUGAGUAUGGAAGAGGUUAGUGGAAUUGCGAGUGUAGAGGUGAAAUUCGUAGAUAUUCGCAGGAACACCAGUGGCGAAGGCGGCUAACUGGUCCAUAACUGACGCUGAGGUGCGAAAGCGUGGGGAGCAAACAGGAUUAGAUACCCCUGUAGUCCCUGUCUCUUAUAA
rnacentral:rRNA from 1 species